rnacentral:rRNA from 1 species
UACGUAGGGGGCCAGCGUUGUCCGAAGUUACUGGGCGUAAAGAGCGCGUAGGCGGAUCUUUAAGUGAGAGGUGAAAUUCUGAGGCUCAACCUCGGAACUGCCUUUCAUACUGGGGACCUUGAGUGCGGGAGAGGCGAGUGGAAUGGUCGGUGUAGCGGUGAAACGCGUAGAUAUCGAUCGGAACACCCAUGGCGAAGGCAGCUCGCUGGCCUGCAACUGACGCUGAGGCGCGAAAGCCGGGGGAGCAAACAGG